UAAUACGAACCGUCCAAACGUUAUUCGGAAUUACUGGGCUUAAAGAGUUCGUAGGCGGUUGGGAAAGUUGGGUGUGAAAGCCCUCGGCUUAACCGAGGAAUUGCGCUCAAAACUACCUGACUAGAGGAAGAUAGAGGUGAGCAGAACUGAUGGUGGAGCGGUGAAAUGCGUUGAUAUCAUCAGGAAUACCGGAGGCGAAGGCGGCUCACUGGGUCUUUUCUGACGCUGAGGAACGAAAGCUAGGGGAGCAAACGGGAUUAGAUACCCCGGUAGUCCUAGCCGUAAACGAUGAGCACUGGACCGGAGCUCUGCACAGGGUUUCGGUCGUAGCGAAAGUGUUAAGUGCUCCGCCUGGGGAGUAUGGUCGCAAGGCUG
rnacentral:rRNA from 1 species